rnacentral:rRNA from 1 species
AGAGUUUGAUCAUGGCUCAGGACGAACGCUGGCGGCGCGCCUAACACAUGCAAGUCGAACGGAGCUGAGAGGAGCUUGCUUUUCUCAGCUUAGUGGCGAACGGGUGAGUAACGCGUGAGUAACCUGCCCUGAAGUGGGGGACAACAGUUGGAAACGACUGCUAAUACCGCAUAAGCCCACGGAUCCGCAUGGAUCUGCGGGAAAAGGAUUUAUUCGCUUCAGGAUGGACUCGCGUCCAAUUAGCUAGUUGGUGAGGUAACGGCCCACCAAGGCGACGAUUGGUAGCCGGACUGAGAGGUUGAACGGCCACAUUGGGACUGAGACACGGCCCAGACUCCUACGGGAGGCAGCA